rnacentral:rRNA from 1 species
UAGCUGGUUCUCCCCGAAAUGCAUUUAGGUGCAGCGUUGUGUGUGCUUGCCGGAGGUAGAGCGACUGGUUGGUUGAGCGGGACUAUCAUCUUAGCAAUAUCAGCCAAACUCCGAAUGCCGGUGAAGUCGAGCAUGGCAGUGAGACUGUGGGGGAUAAGCUUCAUGGUCGAGAGGGAAACAGCCCAGAUCGUCGGUUAAGGCCCCUAAGGGUGUACU